AGCGAACGCUGGCGGCAGGCUUAACACAUGCAAGUCGAACGGGCAUAGCAAUAUGUCAGUGGCAGACGGGUGCGUAACGCGUGGGAACGUACCUUUUGGUUCGGAACAACACAGGGAAACUUGUGCUAAUACCGGAUAAGCCCUUACGGGGAAAGAUUUAUCGCCGAAAGAUCGGCCCGCGUCUGAUUAGCUAGUUGGUAGGGUAAUGGCCUACCAAGGCGACGAUCAGUAGCUGGUCUGAGAGGAUGAUCAGCCACAUUGGGACUGAGACACGGCCCAAACUCCUACGGGAAGCAGCAGUGGGGAAUAUUGGACAAUGGGCGAAAGCCUGAUCCAGCCAUGCCGCGUGAGUGAUGAAGGCCCUAGGGUUGUAAAGCUCUUUUGUGCGGGAAGAUAAUGACGGUACCGCAAGAAUAAGCCCCGGCUAACUUCGUG
rnacentral:rRNA from 1 species